GGCGCACGGGUGAGUAACACGUGACUAACCUACCCUGGAGUGGGGGAUAACUGAGGGAAACCUUAGCUAAUACCGCAUAAUACCCACGGGUCAAAGGAGCAAUUCGCUUCAGGAGGGGGUCGCGGCGAUCAGUUAGUUGGCGGGGUAACGGCCACCAAGACGAUGAUCGGUAUCCGGCCUGAGAGGGCGCACGGACACACUGGAACUGAAACACGGUCCAGACUCCUACGGGAGGCAGCAGUGGGGAAUUUUGCGCAAUGGGGGAAACCCUGACGCAGCAACGCCGCGUGGAGGAUGAAGUCCUCCGGGACGUAAACUCCUUUCGAUCGGGACGAUUAUGACGGUACCGGAAGAAGAAGCCCCGGCUAACUUCGUGCCAGCCGCCGCGG
rnacentral:rRNA from 1 species